GAUGAACGCUGGCGGCGUGCUUAACACAUGCAAGUCGAACGGAAAGGCUCCUGCUUGCAGGGGUACUCGAGUGGCGAACGGGUGAGUAACACGUGGGUGAUCUGCCCUGCACUUCGGGAUAAGCCUGGGAAACUGGGUCUAAUACCGGAUAGGACCACAUUUUGGAUGGUGUGGUGGAAAGUUUUUCGGUGUGGGAUGAGCUCGCGGCCUAUCAGCUUGUUGGUGGGGUAAUGGCCUACCAAGGCGUCGACGGGUAGCCGGCCUGAGAGGGUGUACGGCCACAUUGGGACUGAGAUACGGCCCAGACUCCUACGGGAGGCAGCAGUGGGGAAUAUUGCACAAUGGGCGCAAGCCUGAUGCAGCGACGCCGCGUGGGGGAUGACGGCCUUCGGGUUGUAAACUCCUUUCGCUAGGGACGAAGCGUUUUUAUGACGGUACCUGGAGAAGAAGCACCGGCUAACUACGUG
rnacentral:rRNA from 1 species